GCCAGCAGCCAUAUCACUCUGCAACUCCCAGCUGGCAGCCCCACUGGAGCUCAGCAGGUGUGAGCCUGGCCAGUACCUGGAUGGGAGACUCCUGGGAAAAACUAAGGUUGCUGCUGGAA
rnacentral:rRNA from 1 species